CCAGGUUGCUUUUUGCACUUUUUCCCUUCCAAUGAACUUUCCAACAACAGGCUUCGCUGCAGCAUCCUGAACAGUGACUUUGUGCGACUUACCCUCUGGGUGGAGAACCGUCUAGAUCUUAAUCUGGACAGUUCUCAAAUCUGCAGUUUUCCCACAUGAUUGUAGCUGCAUGUACUGAAUUAGGCUGAAGAAUACCUACAUACAGUAUUUAUACUGUUUAAAUAGUCAUUUAUAAUAAAAUAUGAAACGCAACACUCUUGACUUACAAUACUGGAUUUCUGAUUUCCGUGAGCUAUCUGAUUGUUUUCUGCUUCCUCUGUAUUAUUGUAAGGUCUUUACCUUACAACCUAAAGCACCUUGAGGCUGAUUACUCCUGCUCUUCUGAUUAGUUUUAGUCCUUUUAGUAGGUGAAUAAUAGAACCAAGUUAAAAAAGAAUUCUACUGAUAUGUGUAAUAUUCCCCAACUUAGUUCAAGCACCAUUAAACAAAAUUUCAGGGUAAUCUGCCUGAAAACUUGGUAACCUCGUAAAGUAAGGACAGCAUCUUCACCACAAUUGAAAGUCCCUGAGUUCAGACAUUAAAAAAAAAAAAAAAAGAGAGAGACCUUAGACAGAAACCAGUGGUGGCUUAGCAACUGUCACCAAGCAACUUACUACGGGUCCUGCUGCAGCUUGGCUUUGCUGAUGUAAGAUGCUGUUUGUUGUUUCAGAGUAUUUUGCAUCGCAUCUCCUCGCUAUUGUUAUCGGACACGUGCCGGACUGAAGAGUGUCACUCUUCCAAACAGGAUAUUGAUCCUAAUCAGGUCUUUGAGGCCAUGUGCUGGUGGGUGCGUGAGGUGGAAUUUGUCUGUCUCUCUCUUCCUCUCUCUCUCUCUCUCUGUAAAGCUCUUACUGGCUGCCGCUGGCUGAACCUCCAAUCCCCCUUUUAAGCCGAGUUCCAGCUCGACGAUUUAAAGGGUGAAUGACUUUCCGCCGCUGGAGGGGGAGGAAGGGACACGGUGGUUUUGAUGAAGACAGAUUGGGCACUUAGUCCUUGUGAUCCCAGGACCUGAGUGGAAGAUCUAACUACACUGUCACAGCUGGAUAGCCAAACCUCUGAUGUAACCCCCACUGAGGUUGCAUUUCCCAUAUUUCAUUCAUUAAUAGUCAAGGUGUCUCUGACGUCAAAG
ensembl:lncRNA